rnacentral:rRNA from 1 species
AGUGAACGCUGGCGGCGUGCUUAACACAUGCAAGUCGAACGAGAAACGGAUUUAGCUUGCUAAAUUGCAGUCUAAGUGGCGCACGGGUGAGUAAUGUAUAGGUAAUAUGCCUCUUACUAAGGGAUAACAAUUGGAAACGAUUGCUAAUACCUUAUAUGCCUUUAAUACGAAAGUAUGCAAGGGUAAGAUUUAUUGGUAAGAGAUUAGCCUGUAUGGUAUCAGCUUGUUGGUGAGGUAAUGGCUCACCAAGGCUAUGACGCCUAACUGGUUUGAGAGGGUGAUCAGUCACACUGGAACUGAGACACGGUCCAGACUCCUACGGGAGGCAGCAGUGGGGAAUAUUGCACAAUGGACGAGAGUCUGAUGCAGCAACGCCGCGUGGAGGAUGACACAUUUCGGUGCGUAAACUCCUUUUAUAUAGGAAGAUAAUGACGGUACUAUAUGAAUAAGCACCGGCUAACUCCGUGCCAGCCGCCGCGGUAA